CCUACGGGGGGCAGCAGUGGGGAAUAUUGCACAAUGGGGGAAACCCUGAUGCAGCGACGCCGCGUGAGUGAAGAAGUAAUUCGUUACGUAAAGCUCUAUCAGCAGGGAAGAAAUACUGACCUUACGGUCAGCAGACGGUACCUGAGUAAGAAGCCCCGGCUAACUACGUGCCAGCAGCCGCGGUAAUACGUAGGGGGCAAGCGUUAUCCGGAUUUACUGGGUGUAAAGGGAGCGUAGGCGGUGCGCCAAGUCUGGAGUGAAAUGCCGCAGCUUAACGGCGGAACUGCUUUGGAAACUGGCGAACUAGAGUGCGGGAGGGGUAAGCGGAAUUCCUAGUGUAGCGGUGAAAUGCGUAGAUAUUAGGAGGAACACCAGUGGCGAAGGCGGCUUACUGGAACGUAACUGACGUUGAGGCUCGAAAGCGUGGGGAGCAAACAGGAUUAGAUACCCUAGUAGUC
rnacentral:rRNA from 1 species